CGAACGAUGAAGCCCAGCUUGCUGGGUGGAUUAGUGGCGAACGGGUGAGUAACACGUGAGUAACCUGCCCUUGACUCUGGGAUAAGCGCUGGAAACGGCGUCUAAUACCGGAUACGACCUGCCCCGGCAUCGGGUGCGGGUGGAAAGUUUUUCGGUCAAGGAUGGACUCGCGGCCUAUCAGGUAGUUGGUGAGGUAAUGGCUCACCAAGCCGACGACGGGUAGCCGGCCUGAGAGGGUGACCGGCCACACUGGGACUGAGACACGGCCCAGACUCCUACGGGAGGCAGCAGUGGGGAAUAUUGCACAAUGGGCGAAAGCCUGAUGCAGCAACGCCGCGUGGGGGAUGACGGCCUUCGGGUUGUAAACCUCUUUUAGUAGGGAAGAAGGGCUUCGGCUUGACGGUACCUGCAGAAAAAGCACCGGCUAACUACGUGCCAGCAGCCGCGGUAAUACGUAGGGUGCAAGCGUUGUCCGGAAUUAUUGGGCGUAAAGAGCUCGUAGGCGGUUUGUCGCGUCUGCUGUGAAAACCCGAGGCUCAACCUCGGGCCUGCAGUGGGUACGGGCAGACUAGAGUGCGGUAGGGGAGAAUGGAAUUCCUGGUGUAGCGGUGGAAUGCGCAGAUAUCAGGAGGAACACCGAUGGCGAAGGCAGUUCUCUGGGCCGUUACUGACGCUGAGGAGCGAAAGCGUGGGGAGCGAACAGGAUUAGAUACCCUGGUAGUCCACGCCGUAAACGUUGGGAACUAGAUGUGGGGACCUUUCCACGGUCUCCGUGUCGCAGCUAACGCAUUAAGUUCCCCGCCUGGGGAGUACGGCCGCAAGGCUAAAACUCAAAGGAAUUGACGGGGGCCCGCACAAGCGGCGGAGCAUGCGGAUUAAUUCGAUGCAACGCGAAGAACCUUACCAAGGCUUGACAUAUACCGGAAACUUCCAGAAAUGGUUGCCCCGCAAGGUCGGUAUACAGGUGGUGCAUGGUUGUCGUCAGCUCGUGUCGUGAGAUGUUGGGUUAAGUCCCGCAACGAGCGCAACCCUCGUUCUAUGUUGCCAGCACGUCAUGGUGGGAACUCAUAGGAGACUGCCGGGGUCAACUCGGAGGAAGGUGGGGAUGACGUCAAAUCAUCAUGCCCCUUAUGUCUUGGGCUUCACGCAUGCUACAAUGGCCGGUACAAAGGGCUGCGAUACCGUAAGGUGGAGCGAAUCCCAAAAAGCCGGUCUCAGUUCGGAUUGAGGUCUGCAACUCGACCUCAUGAAGUCGGAGUCGCUAGUAAUCGCAGAUCAGCAACGCUGCGGUGAAUACGUUCCCGGGCCUUGUACACACCGCCCGUCAAGUCAUGAAAGUCGGUAACACCCGAAGCCAGUGGCCUAACCGCAAGGAGGG
rnacentral:rRNA from 1 species